GUGGCACAGCGCCUGCCUGGCAAGCGGGAGGACGUGGGUUCGAUUCCCGGUACCGGAAAAAAAAAAUCAAGAAACAAUGUGAGUAAUCAGAAGCAUUACCGAAAAGAAGGAAAAAAUGGAAACAAAACUUUUGUAAAUAGGGAGGGGAAGAGGGGAUGAAGGGAGGGUAGAGCGAUGGGAAAAAGAAACUAAUCAAGAUAUUCUAAUGGAUUGGUCUAUGCACUGUUCCCCUCUCAGCUGCAACGUAAGUCCUAAUAAAGCUUCUGGGUGGCAUACUCUGGUCUAUUUGCCAUUUCUGUCUCUAGUAGAGCACAAUGAGCUAGUAACACCAAAGGCCACAGCUGCCAAUUCCAAAAGUGACUUGCAGCCAGAGAAUAGCAGAGAGCAGCAGAGAAUUGUCAGGAGCUAGCACCUCUAGUGGCUGGAGGGGUUCCCCAGGAUUGCUAGUAGCCACUUGCUCUGAGCGGCCAUAAGGGAUGUUAACCCAAGAGCUGAUAACCACUGGCAUUCAAAGCUCAGGGCUGUUAACACUAAGAGAGCUACACUUUGCCAGUUCAUGAUUUCUGUAUGAAUUGAUCAAGAACCCUCAACCAACAUGGUAACAUCUUGGAACUUUGUAUGGGCCCCCUCUCUUAUUCCCUUUCCCUGAAGAAUUGUCACAACAGUGACAAUUAUCAGCAAGGGAAAAGUAGCUGACAAACCAGCCCAUGUCUGAAUUCCUCCUGAAUUCAAUAGGAAUUUGUUUUUUGUAGUGUCUAGCCAUCAGAUGUGUGGCACUAAUUGAAAACAGAAAUUUCUUUCUUUUUUUUUUUUUUUUUUUUUGGUUUUUCUCCGGUACGAGGAACUGAACUCACGACCUGAAAACAGAAAUUUCAAGUAGCAAUCCUUAAAGGUGAAUCCUACAUGAAGUGUCACACAUAUCUAAUUUAGAUGACGUUUAGAGAAGAGUUUUGACUUCAGACUUUGGAGAUAAUGCUGGAAUAAGCUACUCCUGUGAGACAGAGACGCAUGCAGUGAUCAUCAUCUGAAGGUAAAGGAUGAGACUGGAGUGAUGCAACUUCUUUAUAUUAAAGAUUGGCAGCAAACGGUCAGAAAAUAGGAGAGAGGCAUGGGACAGAUUCUCCUUUAGAGCCUUCAGAAGGAACCAACCUUGCUGAUGCUUUAAUCUCCAACUUCGGGCCUCCAGAUCUAUGAGACAAUAAAUCCUGUGACUUACAGCGCCAAGUGUGUGGUACUGUCCUAUGGCAGCUCUAGGAAAUUUAUACCAGUGCAUAAAUGGAGUGGCAACAAAGGCAAAGGUAGACUUUGUAUGAGCUGACAAAGCACAGACUCCAACUUUCCAAGGCUGAUCAAGCUACUGAUGAUCUUAAUUACUGCUAAUAGUUCGGAUCUGCAACGUCCCCCAAAGGCCUGUGUGUUAAUGGCUUCCUUGAUCCUUUGCUUGGUGCUGUGAGAAAGUGAUGGAGACCUUCAAGAGAUAGUGCUUUGGGAAGAUUGUAGAUCACUGUGGCUGUGCCCCCGAAGUGGAAUAUGGGACAGGGACUUCUUCCUUUCUCCUUUUCACUUCUCUACCACAGGGUGAAUUACUUUUUCCUCCGCCAUGCUCUCCCUAUCACCAUGAGGUGCUGCCUUACAGUGGUCCCAGAGACAAUGGGGCCAACUAACCACGGAUUAAAACUUCCAAAAUUGUGAAA